UACGAGGGGGGCGAGCGUUGUUCGGAAUUACUGGGCGUAAAGAGUGUGUAGGCGGUGCUCUAAGUUCGGUGUGAAAUCUCCCGGCUUAACUGUGAAACUGCGCUUGAUACUGCUCGGCUAGAGGAUCGGAGGGGGUAACGGAAUUUAUGGUGUAGCAGUGAAAUGCGUAGAUAUCAUAAGGAACACCGGUGGCGAAGGCGGUUACCUGGAAGAUUCCUGACUCUGAAACACGAAAGCCAGGGGAGCAAACGGG
rnacentral:rRNA from 1 species